CAGGGAGGUGUCUCAGUGACAAGUUUAAUCCCCCUGGGGCUUUACAAACUUGCUGAGUGACCUCCCUGCU
ensembl:miRNA